UACGGGGGGGGGGCAAGCGUUUGUUCGGGAAUUACUGGGCGUAAAGGGGUUCGUAGGUGGCUUGCUAAGUCGAGACGUGAAAUCCCCUCAGCUUAACUGGGGGAACUGCGUCUGAGACUGGUGAGCUUGAGUGCAGGAGAGGACGCGGAAGUUCCAGGUGUAGCGGUGAAAUGCGUAGAUAUCUGGAGGAACACCGGUGGCGAAGGCGGGUCUCUGGGCCGAUGACUGCGCUGAGGAGCGAAAGCGUGGGGAGCGAACAGGUUGAGAAACCCCAGUAGCC
rnacentral:rRNA from 1 species